GCAGUGGUGCUUCAGCAGUAGAAUUCUUGCCUUCCAUGAGGCAGAUCCAGGUUCGAUUCCUGGCCAAUGCA
rnacentral:tRNA from 1 species